GCACUGAGCUCUCCUGUCUCCUUUAUUUUUCCCCAGAUAUUUAUUUUAAAUAGCCUUUUCCUCUUGUAUGUGUCUGGUUCCACAUGUUCCCAUGUUAAAGUCAACAUAAGGUUCCAAAUAAAUCCCUGAUGCAACUGGGAGAGCUUCACUGAACUUAGUGACAACUGUGGUGAGCUACAGAGGAUGGUGACUUCAUUGGAAACUACAGCAGGAGGAGGAAGCCUGGAUGGAAAAAGGAGGAGAGCCCUUAAGACCUUCUAUCAACCUUGUCAAUCAAAUAAAUUGAUGAAUCAUUCAGAGCUAAGGCUACAAGCAGUCCUGCAUAGCAACUUCUGAGGUGAGUUCCUGGCUUUCUUGAUUACUGCAUGCAGACAAAACCUCUUCAUGGCUGUGGGUCACUGCUGAAGGAAUUCAAAACAAGGGAAAUUAAAGCUCAUCCACCUCAGCUUUUGUGAUUGCUCUUAGGAAGAUGUGAG
rnacentral:lncRNA from 1 species